rnacentral:ncRNA from 1 species
UUUUAUUUGAGUUUGAUGAUGGCUCUGAGUGAACGCUAUGUAAAUGCUUGACACAUGCUAAUCGAACGUCAAUAUUUAAUUUAGAUAAAUUAUGUAUAUUGAAGUGGUGUACAGGUGAGUAAGUGGUAUUAUGGCUACCUAAGAGUAAGGCAAAAUAAAUCCCUUAUAAUAACAAUUUAUUAUUAUGUAUUAAUACUAGAUCUAAUCACCCAAUGGUCGAUUAUAUCUAAAAGGUUAGGUAUAAAGGUUAAUAAUAGUAAGAAUAAAUGUGUUUAAAAAGAAAUAGUAUUUCGCUCUUAGUUGAUUAUUAAUAACCAUCGGACAAGUAGUAAGUAUGGUAAUGGCAUAUUUAGCUUAUGUCCGUAGUCAAGACUGAGAGGUCUAUUGACCACACUGGGUCUGAAAAAACCCCAGUGCGUGUAGUACAGCAGUGAGGAAUUUUGGUCAAUGGCCUAACGGCUGAACCAGCAACUUGCAGGAAUGAGAGUUAAUAUAAUAAGUUAUUAACUUGCUUGACUAGGUCUUAUAAAGUUCUGGAUAAAGCUUAUUAUGAAAACUUUAUAUCCAUAGGUCUCGACCAAAUCUUGUGCCAGCAGUCGCGGUAAGACAAGGGAGACGAGUGUUAUUCAUCUUUAACAGGUAUAUAGGGUACCUAGACGGUGUGCAAUGGCUUACAUAAGUACCUGGUACACUUGAGUUUGAUAUGUGAGAGGAAUAUGUCGGAAUUGUUGGAGGAAAGAUGAAAUUUUUUGAUACCAAUAGGACCGGUAACGGCGAAGGCAAACCUCUAUGUACAUGUACUUGCUAUUUCUCUAGUAUAAAGAGGAAAAGAGCAAUGUACUAUAACUGACGUUGAGGGACGAAGGCUCAGAUAGUGAAGAGGAUUAGAUACCCCCGUAACCUGGGCAGACAAUGAUGAGUGCCAUAGGUUGGCUU